rnacentral:tRNA from 1 species
UUAGCAGAAGCUAAUUGAUAGCGCUUCAUUGUUAAUGAAGAAGGAGGGAUGACCCCUGUUAAG